GACGAGGGGUCCUAGCGUUGUUCGGAAUCAUUGGGCGUAAAGCGCAUGUAGGCGGCCUAUCAAGUCAGGUGUGAAAUCCCUGGGCUCAACCCAGGACGUGCAUUUGAUACUGGUGGGCUUGAGUAUAGGAGAGGAUAGUGGAAUUCCUGGUGUAGUGGUGAAAUACGUAGAUAUCAGGAGGAACACCGGUGGCGAAGGCGGCUAUCUGGCCUAAUAUUGACGCUGAGAUGCGAAAGUGCGGGGAUCAAACAGG
rnacentral:rRNA from 1 species